AGUGAACGCUGGCGGUAGGCCUAACACAUGCAAGUCGAUCGGCAGCACAGUAAGAGCUUGCUCUUACGGGUGGCGAGUGGCGGACGGGUGAGGAAUACAUCGGAAUCUGCUUUUUCGUGGGGGAUAACGUAGGGAAACUUACGCUAAUACCGCAUACGACCUACGGGUGAAAGCAGGGGAUCUUCGGACCUUGCGCGAUUGAAUGAGCCGAUGUCGGAUUAGCUAGUUGGCGGGGUAAAGGCCCACCAAGGCGACGAUCCGUAGCUGGUCUGAGAGGAUGAUCAGCCACACUGGAACUGAGACACGGUCCAGACUCCUACGGGAGGCAGCAGUGGGGAAUAUUGGACAAUGGGCGCAAGCCUGAUCCAGCCAUACCGCGUGGGUGAAGAAGGCCUUCGGGUUGUAAAGCCCUUUUGUUGGGAAAGAAAAGCAGCAGGUUAAUACCCCGCUGUUCUGACGGUACCCAAAGAAUAAGCACCGGCUAACUUCGUG
rnacentral:rRNA from 1 species